GUCGUGACUGCGUGCCUUUUGAAGAAUGAGCCUGCGAGUUAGCGGUGUGUAGCGAGGUUAACCCGUGUGGGGAAGCCGUAGCGAAAGCGAGUCCGAAUAGGGCGAUUGAGUUGCACGCUCUAGACCCGAAGCGGAGUGAUCUAGCCAUGGGCAGGUUGAAGCGGAGGUAAGACUUCGUGGAGGACCGAACCCACCAGGGUUGAAAACCUGGGGGAUGACCUGUGGUUAGGGGUGAAAGGCCAAUCAAACUCCGUGAUAGCUGGUUCUCCCCGAAAUGCAUUUAGGUGCAGCGUCGUGUGUUUCUUGCCGGAGGUAGAGCACUGGAUAGGCGAUGGGCCCUACCGGGUUACUGACCUUAGCCAAACUCCGAAUGCCGGUAAGUGAGAGCACGGCAGUGAGACUGUGGGGGAUAAGCUCCAUGGUCGAGAGGGAAACAGCCCAGAGCAUCGACUAAGGCCCCUAAGCGUACGCUAAGUGGGAAAGGAUGUGGAGUCGCAGAGACAACCAGGAGGUUGGCUUAGAAGCAGCCACCCUUGAAAGAGUGCGUAAUAGCUCACUGGUCAAGUGAUUCCGCGCCGACAAUGUAGCGGGGCUCAAGCGUACCGCCGAAGUCGUGUCAUUGCAGCAAUAGGGCCAACGCCCGCUGUGAUGGGUAGGGGAGCGUCGUGUGCCGGGUGAAGCAGCAGCGGAAGCUAGUUGUGGACGGUUCACGAGUGAGAAUGCAGGCAUGAGUAGCGAUACACACGUGAGAAACGUGUGCGCCGAUUGACUAAGGGUUCCUGGGUCAAGCUGAUCUGCCCAGGGUAAGUCGGGACCUAAGGCGAGGCCGACAGGCGUAGUCGAUGGACAACCGGUUGAUAUUCCGGUACCCGCUUUGAAACGCCCAAUAUCGAAUCCUCUAAUGCUAAGGCCGUGAAGCCGUUCCGGAGCCUUCGGGCAAAGGAAAGUGGUGGAGCCGCCGGCCCAAGGUGGUAGUAGGUAAGCGAUGGGGUGACGCAGGAAGGUAGUCCAGCCCGGGCGGUGGUUGUCCCGGGGUAAGGGUGUAGGCCGAGGGGUAGGCAAAUCCGUCCCUCAUAUAAGGCUGAGACCUGAUGCCGAGCCGAUUGUGGUGAAGUGGAUGAUCCUAUGCUGUCGAGAAAAGCCUCUAGCGAGUUUCAUGGCGGCCCGUACCCUAAACCGACUCAGGUGGUCAGGUAGAGAAUACCGAGGCGUUCGGGUGAACUAUGGUUAAGGAACUCGGCAAAAUGCCCCCGUAACUUCGGGAGAAGGGGGGCCAUCACUGGUGAGGGAACUUGCUUCCUGAGCUGGGGGUGGCCGCAGAGACCAGCGAGAAGCGACUGUUUACUAAAAACACAGGUCCGUGCGAAGCCGUAAGGCGAUGUAUACGGACUGACGCCUGCCCGGUGCUGGAACGUUAAGGGGACCGGUUAGUGCGCUUUCGGGCGUGCGAAGCUGAGAACUUAAGCGCCAGUAAACGGCGGUGGUAACUAUAACCAUCCUAAGGUAGCGAAAUUCCUUGUCGGGUAAGUUCCGACCUGCACGAAUGGCGUAACGACUUCUCGACUGUCUCAACCAUAGGCCCGGUGAAAUUGCACUACGAGUAAAGAUGCUCGUUUCGCGCAGCAGGACGGAAAGACCCCGGGACCUUUACUACAGUUUGAUAUUGGUGUUCGGUUCGGCUUGUGUAGGAUAGGUGGGAGACUGUGAAAGCCAUACGCCAGUAUGGUGGGAGUCGUCGUUGAAAUACCACUCUGGUCGUGCUGGAUGUCUAACCUCGGUCCGUGAUCCGGAUCAGGGACAGUGUCUGAUGGGUAGUUUAACUGGGGCGGUUGCCUCCCAAAGGGUAACGGAGGCGCCCAAAGGUUCCCUCAGCCUGGUUGGCAAUCAGGUGUUGAGUGUAAGUGCACAAGGGAGCUUGACUGUGAGACCGACGGGUCGAGCAGGGACGAAAGUCGGGACUAGUGAUCCGGCGGUGGCUUGUGGAAGCGCCGUCGCUCAACGGAUAAAAGGUACCCCGGGGAUAACAGGCUGAUCUUCCCCAAGAGUCCAUAUCGACGGGAUGGUUUGGCACCUCGAUGUCGGCUCGUCGCAUCCUGGGGCUGGAGUCGGUCCCAAGGGUUGGGCUGUUCGCCCAUUAAAGCGGUACGCGAGCUGGGUUUAGAACGUCGUGAGACAGUUCGGUCCCUAUCCGCUGUGCGCGUAGGAAUAUUGAGAAGGGCUGUCCCUAGUACGAGAGGACCGGGACGGACGAACCUCUGGUGUGCCAGUUGUCCUGCCAAGGGCAUGGCUGGUUGGCUACGUUCGGGAGGGAUAACCGCUGAAAGCAUCUAAGCGGGAAGCCUGCUUCAAGAUGAGUAUUCCCACCUCCUUGAGAGGGUAAGGCUCCCAGUAGACGACUGGGUUGAUAGGCCAGAUGUGGAAGCCCGGUAACGGGUGAAGCUGACUGGUACUAAUAGGCCGAGGGCUUGUCCUC
rnacentral:rRNA from 1 species